CAAAGUGGUCGAGUCUCGCUAACGUUGAAGCUCCCACCAGGGUUCGAUUCCAUAUUGGUACCAAUUUCCGGGCAUUAACUCCCCCGAGACAUUCCGGGCACUCAAGUCCCGAGACAUUCCCAGUAUAAUCUGGAGCAACUUUCCGCCACAGUGCGGCACAUUACCAGUAAGAUCUGGUCUUUCCUUCCGCCACAGUGUGAAAGCGACUUGUCUCUUCCAUGGUGGAAGACCCAAAUGAGGGGUUUUAGACAAAGAUGAAUGAUUUGGAUUGAAUCUCCAUAAAGUUCCAAUUAAUCAACUCCGAAACCAGAAACGACACACAUAUAUGCUGAAUUAGAGAGACGAUGAGGAAGACGCAACUGUCCUUUCAUAUCUUUGCCCUGGAAUUGUUUCUGGUUUGUGAAAUUAUUUAACGAACCGGUCUAAUCCGGGAACCGUUUGGUUUAUAUAUUCUCCAGUACGGCGGAGAUAGGGUUUCGUUUGUGACUCGGUGGAUUCUCAAUUCUAUUGGGCUUUUAAUGGGCUUCAAUAUAUUAAACGCUUAUCUCAUGCUUUUUUCUUUGUUUCCUUUGCCUGCUAUUCUUUUUUGUCAAAUUUCUUUGUUUGUAAAGUGUGAAAAAUCAAAAUCUUUAACUAA